AGGUGUGCUGGGAAAGACAUCCAACCUCUAUCCAUGCCUUCCAUAUGGGAUGGGACUCACCGAGGCAGUGGGAGGUUGCAGCACAGUGCUCAGUGCCGGCCUUGGGGUUGUAAUUAAUAGUGGGAGACGCUGAUUAAUAAUUGGAGGUGGUAUAAAGGGGAUACCUGGACUGGGAUGAAGCUGAGGGGUCUCUCGGAGCGCGGCGUUGCCAUAGGGAUCCAACAGCUUCUCCGUCAGAGCCUCCGGCGAGAGCAGUUAAUCCAUUUUUAAGAGGAAAGGAUAUUUAAUAAAGGGAGCCAUUUAAACUGGAUUUACAAGGCACACUGAAUGGAGGCCCCAUUUAUUCCGUGACUUCAUAUUUAAUUUUAAUAUCUCUAUAAACCUCUCCAGAGUGUUCUGCACAAACAAGCCGGAGCCAGAGCGGUUCGACCGCCCAGUGAUUCUUAAAAGCAAAUCAAUUUAACAGGGCUGGAAAAAACCUGCCUCUCCAGGAAUAUUCUUCUGCUCUCGGAAGGAGCACCGGAAUAGCUGUAUUAGAAAACAACAAACAAGCUCUUCUGAUGGAGAGGGAUUUUUGAAAGGAUAUGGUGCAAAGCGGGGUUGGGAGCCCCCACAGCAAGGCGGGUUGUUGGGAGUUUGCUUUGUUGCUCUGUUUUCUCUGCACUCAUAAAUAAUGUAAUUAAUAAUCAUAUAACUUCAUCAAUAAUCCAGUUUUUUCUGCAGCCGUGCUCGCUGCUAUUCCCGUGCUGCUGCCUGAGCAGGGAUGCAGUGACUGUAAAAGUCCAUACAAGAGCUGGGAUAGGGACGAUGGCACCUGGCAGCAUUUAGCACUCUAUAAAUGAGAAAAGGACAGGAAGGCAGCCAGAUUGCCCACAAGGAAGCAGUUUGUGGCUGUUCCCAGAGCAUUUCUGCUUCCCACACUGGGAAUGUCAUGGUUUUGGAAGAAUCAAGUUCUCUGGGAAGAGCUGGUGAGAAAACUCCCUUCUCCCUCUGCAACAGGUAAACUCUCCUGCUCCUCAGCACCUGGCCCAGGGCACAGAGCAAAUUCCCUGGGUUUCCUUUGUCUCUGGAACAUCUCGGUUUCAUUUCUUUUUAAUAUGUAGAGAUUGUGCUGCACAAAGCUGCUCUGAUUUCUCCUCCAUCUUUUGGGUGGUCCCUGAACCCGGAUUUAAGGAGCAGAGCAGGUGCCCUUUGCCACCACAUCCCAGUCAGCCUGUGCAGUGCUUUGUGCUCUCAGAUCACAGAAUGUUCCCUCACCUCCACUUAAUCCCUUUUUCCCUCUCUUUUUCCUUCUACACAAAUGACCCCCCUAGCAGGAAACAGCGUCCUCUGCUGCCCUGGGUCACAGAGAUGGAUUUCUCAAGGAGCAGACUCUGGACUGCUCAGAGUGAGGGUGAUUUAGCAUCAGAUGUUUCUCCCUGUCCCAGGCUGGGGAAUGUUUCUCCCUAUCACAGCCAAAGAUCCAUGAUUGGGAUUGGAUUCAUAGCACAUCAGAUAAUUAGUUAGUCUAUAAAAAGGGAAUUACAUGGCAUUUUAACGAGCACGGUUGAAUUUUGUUCUCGCCUCCCUGUGAGAUGAAGGCUGAGACUCCCCAUGGGAAUUGAUUUCCUCAUGGGACCUCCCUGUCUUAGGAAUAUGAUGUCCCAAAAGCGGCCCCACAGGUACAUGUGGGUCUGGAAACCAGGAUCCAGGCAGGCAGCAGUCCCCCAUUUCCAGGGACAGACCCUUGCUCUAAUAUUUGAGCAAAUUUUGUCAUUUAACUUUCCCAAUUAGUUUUCUUCUAAAAUCUGGAAAUAAUGCAACUUCUUUUUUAAAUUGAUGGAGAGGGGGAAAAACCAUUUUCAUCACUCUUUAACAGAAAGCCUCAGUCUUCUAUGGUCCAGAGCAAGAGGAGGCACAAAUGGACUGAUUUAUUUCAUUCUUCCUGAUGUUUAUUUUAAAUUAAUCCUGUUGGGACAGAUGUCAGGCCAGAAUUCUUGCUGGAGUCACUUAUGUUCUUUGAUCUAAUUAACAAUGGCUCAUGUCUUAUAAUAACUCAUUUUUCUAAUAAUGAAUUUUUCAUGAGUGAUGGGAUUCACUUGCUUUUGCUCUUUGCCUUCCCCUACAUCCUGUGUUUCCUCUCUCAUUUUUCUUCCUUUCAUUUUCCAAACCACCUUGGAUGCUGAUACAUUUCAGGCUUGAAAUCUCUGGAAAUAACUUUCCAAAUACGCUGCAUUUAGAGAAAAUUUCAGGUUAAUUCUACAUGUUUAUUCAUUAAAGCACCAGUAGGAUCCUGCUGUGCACACACAGGGAAUUUAACACAGAAAAACAAAUGGAGUGUGUACAUAAGUGUGUGUCAGUAAUAAUAAAAUAGGAAUGAUGCUGCUGUGAUUCAUUGACCCAGGAUUUCCGACUGGAAUUUACAGUGGGCUUGAGGAUAAACCCUCAGACUUUCCUUGGGAAGUGCCCCUGGAAUACUCGGGAAAAUGCUUUUAGGGAUUACACAGCAAUUUAAAUAACAUGCUGCCUAUGAUGGCCUGAAGGCACAAAACCUCCCGUUCCUAUAAAAUCCAGGUUACAAAUGGAAAAUCCUAUCAAGAAGAAUAAGAAAAAGACCAGAAUGUUGAGAAGUUUUUCCCAGUACCACAACUGAAGAUUGCACCUGAUGAUCUUGAAGGUUUUUUCCAAAUUCUGGGAUUCUGCAAGUCGGCCAGCCUGGACUCCACACACACAGAUGGCACCAUUCCUCCGAUGUCUGACUGUCCCCUCCAGGAUAAAUUUAUCCGUGUUUCCAGCCAGAUCCCCACUCUUGUUCAGCUUAUCCCCACAACUUCCCAGCACCCAUCCACCGUCACUCUCCAAUAUCCCAGUCAGACGCUUUCCCUGGGGCAAAGCACGUCCUUCGCAGGCCAUUAUCACUGCUAGCACACGGAAGGAUGUUACAAACCUCAACAGGGUUCAGUCAAAUGGGUCCUUAUCGGUCCCAUUGCCCUGGGGACAACGAUUGCUGAUGUCAGGGACGAGAUGCUGCAGGUUUUGGAGCAGAUUCAGUCCUCGUCCUGCUGCCUGCGAAACCACAGAAACAUUAAUUGCCUACAAAUUCCAGCAGGAACUUCACACACACAGAGUCAGGACUUCAUUACAGCCCCGCAGGAGCCGCCUGGGAGCCUCGGGAAACUCCGUGUAAAGAGCAGCAGAUAGAGCUGGAACGAGUUAAGAGACUUGGAGACUCUCCUGCGACACAGGUCUGGGAGCUGUGUGUGAUUUAAUGUGUGUUUGUGCUGGUGGCAAAACCCCGGCUGGCUGCGGGGAUGUGUGUGUGUGCAUCCAUCCAGCAGCUCUGGGCUCAGAGCGAUCGCAGGGAUCGGGGAUGGCUCAGCGGGAGCAUGAAGGGUGCACUGGGAGCUCUGGUUGUUACUGGCUUCACACUGGAUACGCUCAGCCUGGCUGUGUGUCAACCUGAUUUUUGGGGGGGAGAUCUGGGAGUAGGAGAACUGGGCGAGCUCCGCCGGAGCCGCUGUCCCCGUUGCGCUGGCGCCUGCGGUAUUCCUGCCCUCGCUGCGACCUCCGGCCCGGCUGGGGUGUGUGACCCCCCUCGCUGCCCGGGGGGAUGCGGAUCCAUGCGGAUCCAUGCGGGGUCUGCCUGCCCGCAGCCUCCGCUGCCGGCACCGGGAUGCGCUCCGGCUCGCUCCCUGCCUGCUCAGCCCACAUCCAGCGGGGAAGAGCUGGCACGGGCUCUGCCGCUUCUCCUGGCGCUAAGGAGCGGAGCCUGCCCGGGAGGCUCCCUUCAGGAGCGAUUCCACAGCAGGGAAAGCAGAACGGAGCUCAGCGGGAGGAGCUGAGUGCGGAUCUGAGCUCGGAGUUAAGGCACUGAGCUCAGAGCAAGGUCUUUGCGAGUCCAGCCAAGUGCAUAUCAAUGAAUUUAGAGCCAGAUGCGUCAGCACAAAGUUUUCCUUGAAAACAGUGAUUUUUGUGUUUGUCCAUCUCCUUGGAAUUACUCAGUGUAUUCAUCCAGAGUGUUUGACUUUGUUUAAAAAGGCUUUUCCCCCAGAGAUAAGAAACUCCGCCUCGGUAGCGAGCUGAUUGUGGAGCGGCUUCUGUGCUUAUCCCCUUGGAUAAGAGGCUUUAUUAUACCAAAUUACAGGAUAAUCUCUGGACACACAGCCACAGCAUCCGAUCUCUCCUCCUUUGCUUGUUUUACUUUUUGAUCCAGAGCUGUUCAAACCAAUCCAGGGGGUCUCCUCUGAUAGGAAUCACCGUCCUGUUUGUUGUCUGGGAAGCUGGCAUCAGCCCAAACUGAUGUUUUUUCAAGAAACCUUCUUUCUCUUGCUCAGCUUUUCCAGAGGCCUCACCCGUUUGUCCUUUUUGCAGUUCUUCAGACCAAAAUAAAUAUCUGAUCUCACCCCAAAGGCCAGCAGAGCCUUGGCAGGGCAUUUGUGAUGACAUCAGUGUCCAGCCUCACUCCAAGCUGGAAGGACAGGGGCAUCCCUCAAUCUUUCUUUCCAGCCCCUCUGGGAACUCGCCUUUUCCUUGUCACACUGAUACAUAUUCCUGAUUUCUGACAGCCAAGAGCAGCGCCAACACAUGGAGAAGGGACACACUGGAGGCGAGCGCAUACCAGGACACAAGGAAAUGGGAUGAAAAGCAGCAAAAUGGGCUCCUAAUUGCUGUGGCAAAGUGAUUUUGGAGCUGGCAACUUCCUGGGAUUCCUCUCUUAAUUUUCUUUCCCCAUUUUUAAGUUUUCUUCAGGAUUUUAAGAAGGGCGUGGAGCCACAUCCAAGCCCGCUGUUGGGGUGUUUCUCCAGGGUGGAAUAAAUCAGGAGGAGAUUCCAGAGCUGACAGCAGGCGCUGGAGUGCUGGUGCCACCAAAUUCAGCAGAGCUGCCCCACGUCCGGGAUCCCAAAGGAACUGAAGCUGGAAUCCCAUCUCAGGUCACAGGCAGGAGUUUCCUGUCUCACUUAUAUCCAACCUCUUCUUUGUGUCCAGGAAUCUUCCAGCAAAUCUUAAGGUGAUUUUGAGCCAAGAAGCUUGAGGAAUUUGCUUUAUACCUCUCCAAAGUGCUAAUGGGAGCCACAGAAUCCUUGCUGAGCCAUGAGAGGGACUAAAAUAAAUCUCCAUCAGGGUUUAUCCAUGAGCUGCAGAGCUCUUUGGUGAGCCCCAGAAUCAGUGAGGAAACUGCACCUUUCAGUGGCUCUGCCAGGGCCGCAGGACGGCAGCAGAUUCCUGGCGCUGGCAGAGGAUGCAGCAGGGAGCCCAAGUGUGCGAGCAGCAGGAAUCACCCUCCGCUCGCUGCCUUCAGACAAUUCCGUGUAAAAACCGCUCUAAACAAGCCUCGCAAUAGCAAGGGUGAGCCCUGCAGCACAUCUUUGAAGACUGAGGGAUGAGCACCAGUAAACCUGUCUGGAUAUUCCCAGGUGUUGCUUCGGGCUCAGGGUGGCCCAGGAGGUGAUGGUUCCUGAUGAGCUGAGAAGGACCAGGCUGUGCUUUGGGUGCAGGACAAAGGGCCUCAUCAUCUGCAGCCAUGGGAGAAACCUGGAUGGGGACCAAAUAAUGGGAAUAAUACCUUGCUUGUAGGUAAACUCUUUCAAAUAAUCAUCUCUUGAGUGCUUUUGAGAGAACAUCACUGGAAUAAAUUAUAUUAUCUGCCCCAAUUAUAUUAUCUGCCCCUUAAAGCUGUAAACACCUGAACAGGCUAACCAAUAUUUUCCCUUCCUGGGCUGUGUCCUGGCAGAUGGGAGGGCUACAGGCACCAAAUCCUGGUAGAGAAGAGGGUCACAGAAUGGAAUUGUUUAGGUUGGAAAAGAUCUUUAGGAUCAUCGAGUCCAACUGUUAUCAACCCUCUUUCAGCCAACAAGAGAGUCUGGAGGAAGAAACAGCCUCAGGGAGAAUAUUGUGCAAAGCUCUUAAUAAUUGAGGAUGAUUUAACAAAAAUAUCCCCUUUAUACCUCUUGGUUCCUGGGAGAAAAGCUUCGAGCAGUUUCCUGAGGAAAGCUCUGCAGAAUCAGCCUUCAAACAUGUUUUCCUCCCUCAUUUAUCUGAUUAAUUUACUUUCAUUAAGAAAACCAACCGUGUUCUCCUCUAUAUAUCCAGUUUCUGUGAAUCACAGACUGCAGCUCCAGGAUUUCUGUGUUUAUUCUCAGAAGUCACUCAGCUUUUAGCUCACUCUCCCAAAAUAGUUUUCCCUUUUCCUGCAGGUAAUUUGGGGAAUCAGCAAAACAUCUAAACAGGGGGAUCUGAGGGUGGAGAUUUUCUCUCCCAGUGCUCAAUUACUGCAAAUUCUAGUCUAGUCUGGAAACAUGGAAGAGGAAACCUCAUCCUCUUUGAGGAUCAGUUCUCCAGGAUGGGUAUAGGGAUUUUAAAUGAUCCUGCAGGUAAAUGCAGGGAUGGGAAUGAGAGGGUGGUAGAGUUGGAGGGAAAAAAGGCUAAGAAAAGUAAUUUAGGGAAACCUAAGAUGGAGUAAUUGAGAUUGUGAUGGGACAAAAUUAAGAAAGAAGGAAUCAACACCAGCAGUGACAGUACAAGGGGAAAUUACUUCAGUCAGACAGAGGGCAGAGUUAAAUGGGAUACUGGGAAGAAAUUCUUGGCUGUGAGGAUGGUGAGGCCCUGGCACAGGUUGUCCAGAGAAGCUGUGGCUGCUCCGUGCCUGGAAGUGUCCAAGACCAGGUUGUUUGGGGCUUGGAGCAACCUGGUCCAGCACUAAUGCCAGCCUGACCCCCGAGGAUCUGCCACUGCCCAGGACUGGGACAGAGCCAAUCAAUCCAGGCUGGCAUCGUCCUGGGAUGUGGCUGAGCUGCAGUCAAGGGUUUUGUGGGAUUCACAUAAACACACACACACAGCCCAAGCUCUUGAAGCCUUUAUUACAGGAAGGACAAACAGGGACCUUCUGCCUUGCUUGGCUCCUCUGGGAUGAGCAGCCCAGGCCCAGGGGAGCUGCAGGAAGCUGAGGAGGGAGCUGCUCUGUGGGAACACGACAGAGGUCACUGGCACUGCCUUGGAUGGGUCCCUGUCUCUGCUGGUCACCCCACAGAAGAUGACGAGUCCUUCUAGGGCCACCAUGAGGGCCUGAGCCAGAAGCUUCUGGGGCAGAACAGCCUGGCACUGGGAUUCCCACCUCCACUGCAGGACCCUGAACGUGGACAUACACCAAGCUGAACUUCCCUGGCAGCAGAAUUUAAGACAUCGUUCCCAGCAGACUCAUCACAUGAGAUCUUUCCAGUCCUGCUUGGCCAUGAAGAGCAGUGAUGACUUCAUGGAUGUGCCCAGCUGCAUCUGCACCUUUGGCUGGAGAAACUGGGAUGGCCCUGUCUGGUUGUGGGGGUGGCUCCUCCAGCAGGCCAAGCAGGUUAUGAAAGUCAAACCCAUUCCAAAGCAGCCACGUGCCCCCACCUGCACCUGCUGAAUGCACAUUGUCCUACAUUGUCCCUUCACCAGUAAGCUACAAUUUUAAAGGAUAAAUGCACAGCAAUUUCAUGGCUCCCUGUGCAAGUCGACCUCUUCCCGUGGCACAAAGUGCUGCCUGUUGCUUAGGAACAAUCUGUAUCCUACAAAAUGAAGACGUGCGCUCUCCAAAGAGUUUUUUACACAAUGGGUGCUUGCCUUGCUCAGACACCGACCCACCUCCUGCACAAAGCACGGGGUGAAGUCUUUGUGCUCCAAAUGCAGCAUGGACACCUACUACACCCAGCCAUGAUUCGGGAUAUAGGGAUGUGGCCUAGCCAUGGUUUGGGAUGUAGGGCUGUGCAAACCCCAUCCCUCAGCUAAGGUAACCUGGACUGCAAAGCUAUCUUGUCCGAGGCCCCGGUGGGAGCGUCUGCCAGGGUGGAGCAGGUGUUGAAGCGGGAAGCCUUGCAGGACAUGCUCCUGGAGCUCUGCUUCUUGCGGUAGAAGUAGCUGCUGAGGUGGAACCAGAACUUGUCGUGGAGGGAGGCGUAGAUGAAGGGGUUGUAGCAGGCAGAGCUCAUGGCGAUCAGGUGGCACGAGACCUGGAUGACGUUGACGUACCUCUUGUCCAGGAUGGUGAACUCCUCGUCGAUGUCCCGGAUGAAGUUGACCACCUGCAGCGGCAGCCAGCAGACGGCGAAGCAGACCACGGAGAUGGUGAGCACCCGGAAGGUCUUGUGCUUGGUCCUGGCCCACUUGUCCUGGCAGUGAUAGGCGGCGCCCGGCACGUUCCUCCUGCGCAGGUGGUAGGUGAUGGCACAGAAGGAGAUGGACACGGCCAGCAGCG